ensembl:lncRNA
UGACCUCAUGAUCCGCCUGCCUCGGCCUCCCAAAGUGCUGGGAUGACAGGUGUGAGCCACUGCACCCGGCUGCAACCAUGUCUAAGCAUGUCUCCUUUUCUCCAGGAGAAACACAGUGCCUUCAAUGAUUCCCCGGGAGAGGAGUUCUCUGUAUCCUGAUGCUCUGUCAUCCUCUCGUGAAUGGACUGCAGAUUGUCCACAUCUCUCCUAAACUAUGCUGCCCGUAUUUAAGUAAAGCUGGCCUAAGAAGCUCAGAGGGAGCCCUGGUUCACUUAAUGCAAUUCCUUCCCUUGGUGCAGCCGAAGAGGGCUGAGGUUGUUCCGGCAGCCUCCUCACCUGCUGCGGCUCAUAUAGAAACUGAGAGUCAGUGCAAACCCUCAGAUGUUUUCCUGGAUCUUUUCCAUAUGAAAAACGGCCAGUUUGUUGAUGUACAUCUGACUUCUCCCUUUUAAAUGCUGACUGUCAAGUUCAAUCUUAAUUUCUUUUGACUUGCUCAGCAAUCCCAUCUUAACUUUCACAUCUCAUUUUAGCUCUUUCCCCCAGUUUUCGGUUAAGCACAAACUUACCAAUCAAGACAUUGUGCUUUUUUUUUUUGAGAUGGAGUCUAGCUUUGUUGCCAGGCUGGAGUGCAGUGGUUCAAUCUCAGUUCAUUGCAACCUCCACCUCCCAGGUUCAAGCGAUUCUCGUGCCUCAGCCUCCCAAGUAGCUGAGAUUACAGGUGUGUGCCACCAUGCCUGGCUAAUUUUUGUAUUUUUAGUAGAGAUGAGGUUUCACCAUGUUGGUCAGGCUGGUCUUGAACUCCUGACCUCCAGUGAUCUGCCCGCCUCGGCCUCCCAAAAUGCUGGGAUUACAGGUGUGAGCCACUGCGCCUGGCCAUUAGGUGUAUUUCACCACAGUAAAAAACGAUAAAUUACAAAAAAUGGUGACGUGCCAGGGACAAUGCCGUGUGCAGCUCGUUGUCUGGCCCUGUCCCCAGGGUGCCCUGCUCUAGGACGUCAGGCCCGGAAUCCCAGGAAGCAGGGGAGGAGAGGGAGGUACCUCUUCAUUCCAGGCCCAGGAUACAGCCCAGCUCUGCCGUGGUUGCGCACAGUGACGAUCUAUCUCUGCCUCUCAGGCCAGGAACAUGUUUUCACCGAGACCCACAAAGCGCAGUCACUGACCCUGUGCCCAGACACCUUGGUGAGCAGGGACAGCCUGGUCGCACUGUUAAAGGAAAGGGGUCCCGAUCCAGACCCCAAGAGAGGGUUCUUGGAUCUUGCUCAAGAAAGAAUUCAGGGCGAGUCUGCAGUGCAAAGCAAAAGCAAGUUUAUUAAGAAAGUCAAGUGGUGAAAGAACAGCUACUCCCUGGACAGAGCAGGGCGUUCCCAAAAGUAAGAGGAGGAAUGCGUCCACCCUAAGUACAAUGCUUGUAUAUAUAUAGGAUAAAAAAAGAUCAUAGGGAGAUGUGCUCUGCUACAGGGGUUUGUCAUAAAGGAUUCCUUUUUUAAAUUACCACAUUUUGCAAGAAUCAAUGUUAUUAUCUUUGAAGAAAAAUUAGGAAUGCCUUUGUUCUCAAGAUAUCGGGAUAUCUGGACACUCCCAAGUUUGGAUUUGUUUAGUAAACAUUAUUAAUUCACUUCCUUAACUGUAAACAUCUAGAGGUUGGGAAUACCUUUCUGGGAAUGGAGCCCAGAUUCUGGGAAUGCAAGUCCCUACUGCAUUUUCCUAGCCCUCACUCAAGAUGGAGUCGCUCUGGUUCAAACACCUCUGACACCCCCUCUACAAGCUCCCGGGAUGUUUAAACAAGCCAUUCCCAGAGAGGCGAUGCAGAGGUGCAGGGCAGGCCCUGAGCCCUGGCCACAGGCGAUGCUUAAGCUGAGCGCUGAAAGGAGGGGUAGGAGUUCAGCAGGUGAGUUGUUAGAAGACUUGCAUUUCAAGCAGAAGAUCUGGAAAGACGCGCUGACCGAUCAGCGAAAGGCCGUGAGCUGUGGGUGGUGCGGAGACUGCGGAAGCUGAGGACAUGGAGCUAAGGCGGGCUCAGACUUCCUCCUGAGGGCAACAGUUUUUAGCUGGGGAGGAACAUGACCAAAUCUGCCUUUCCCAGUGACCUCUCUGAUCUCUUUGAUGCAGUGUAGAUCCGUGCUUAGCAAACUCAGAAGGCCCUGUCACCAGCAGGAAGGAAGAGACCCCACGACUGAGGGCAGUGGUAGGUUUAGGGGCCGGCCACAGGUGGGACCGAAAGGGGUAGCUAGGGAUGGGCUGUAGGGGUGAGAGGGGAGGAGGAAUGGAGGGUUGAUGAUGCCUUCUAUCAGGAGGGGAACAUGCUAGAAGCAGUUUUGGGGGGAGGUGGGAAGGGUGGGUAAGCAGAUGAAGGAUUGGGUCUUGGAGAUGCUGCUAGUUUGGCUUUGACGGUGCAGGUCCUCUGCUAUGAGGUGAGUGGCUGUGCCCGCCAGCUCCUCUUCUCACUCCCUUCUAGGGCUAUGAGAUUUGUGACCCUUUCCUCUGCCUGCCUCUGCCCCUGCCCCUUGGGACCCUGCUGGACCAGGCAUCCAUCCUAUGGAACUUUCCAUGAAGCGCUGACCUCCCUGCCCCUGAGGCAUUGGGUGAGUGGCAGGUGAGAGCUGCUCACAGGGCAUUAAAGGGGUUCAAAAUAGCACCCAAGGCCGGGCAUGGUAGUUUACACCUGUAAUCCCAGUACUUUGGGAGGCUGAGGCGGGCAGAUCACCUAAGGUCAGGAGCUCGAGAGCAGCCUGGCCAACAUGGAAAAACCCCUUUUCUACUAAAAAUACAAAAAAUCUCCGGGCAUGGUGGUGUGGGCACCUGUAAUCCCAGCUACUUGGGAGGCUGAGGCAGGAGAAUCGCUUGAACCCGGGAGGCAGAAGUUACAGUGAGCAAGAUCGCACUAUUGCACUCCAGCCUGGGCAAAAAGAGCGAGACUCCAUCUCAAAAAAAAAAAAAAAAAUUGCACCUAAGCCCAAGCCCAGAAGGUGGCCCUGAAACUGGGCCUUCCUUUGAAGCUAGGCCUGGUAUUUGCCAUGAUUGUGCCUCCUUCCCCACGUCACCAACGUUGACUGCCCUCCAUUACCCGGUGCUGCCUGGGCGCUGCGUGGGUGCUGGCGUGUGAAAUGGCAACGUGAGGCCGUGUCUACUGAGCCAGGCAUCUUAGUGCUUUACACAGAGAAAUGAAACCUCCUAGCUACGCUGUGAGUUAGGGACCAUUGAUUCCCAUUUUUCAGAUAAGGAAACAACCAAGGCACGGAGUGGUUGGUAGGUGGACUAAGGUCACCCAACAGCUGGAGGCAAAAGGAGACACGUGUCUCCACCAGGAGCCACCAGCUGUCCCCUCCUUCUCCAUCCCACAGAUUGAGUGAAGGCUUGGGCUACUCCGGCUGGACAGUAUCAAGUGUUACAUUCUGUAGAGCCAGGAUGUUCCUCCAAUCCUUUAAUCCCAAAUAUUUUGUUUUGUUUUGUUUUGUUUUGUUUUGCGGCAGAGUCUUGCUCUGUCAUCCAGGCUGGAGUACAGUGGUGCAAUCUCAGCUCACUGCAACCUCUGCCUCCCGGGUUCAAGUGAUUCUCCUGCCUCAGCCUCCUGAGUAGCUGGGACUACAGAUGUGCGCCACCACACCCAGCUAAUUUUUGUAUUUUUUGUUGACACGGGGUUUUACCAUAUUGGCCAGGCUGGUCAUGAACUCCUGACCUUGAGUGAUCUGCCCGCCUCAGCCUCCCAAAGGGCUGGGAUUACAGGCAUGAGCCACCACACCUGGCCUAAUCCCAAAUUUUAAACCUGCUUCUUGUUCUGCCUCUAGUGAAAUCAAAGAUCCCUCUGCUGCUGUCCCUAUGGGAAUGUGGACAGGGAUGACAUUUCUCGCCAGCUCUGGGUGGCUCCUCUGGUCCUGCCCUUCACUGUCCAGCUCCUCAAGUCCUCCUCAAUUCCCCUCUUCUCCAGCCCUACUGCCACUGUCCCCACCUGAGUACAGACCUUCAUAAUUUCCCACUGGCCCCCCACCUCUGGUCCCCCCAGUCCCUCUCCUAGUCCAUUUGUAUUUAUUUAUUUAAUUUUAUUUUGAGAUGGAGUUUCGCUCUUGUUGCCCAGGCUGGGGUGCAAUGGUGCGAUCUCAGCUCACUGCAACCUCCGACUCCCAGGUUCAAGUGAUUUUCCUGCCUCAGCCUCCCGAGUAGCUGGGAUUACAGGCAUGCACCACCACACCCGGCUAAUUUUGUAUUUUUAGUGGAGAUGGGGUUUCUCCAUGUUGGUCAGGCUGGUGUUGAACUCCCAACCUCAGGUGACCCGCCCGCCUCAGCCUCCCAAAGUGCUGGGAUUAUAGGCGUGAGCCACUGCACCCGGCCCCUAGUCCAUUUUUAUACACAGCUCUGAGGAUGCUCCAAUCUGACGACAGCAUCUGCUCACUUAGCGCCCUGCCCCGGUGUCUCAUCGCCUUGGGGAUAAAAUCCACACUCUGAGAGUCAGUGCAAAGUUCUUGGCGUGGCCGCUGCCCUCUCCAUUUUCCCAGGCCUUGCUCUACCGAACAAGUCCCUCUCUCAGCGCCUCCCGAAGGCCAGCUCCCUGGCAGGGCUGAUGGUGAUAAAGUGUUCAGUAGUCAGCAAUAAAGAGGGAAAAACAGCAAUACUGAUUCAUAGAUACGAAAUCAACCAGAUGUAUCAGCCAAGUUGCCAGCACUCCUUUCUUGGUCACAGUAUCUUUUAUUCCAAACGUCCUUUCUAUUUAUUUUUUGUAGUUGAGAUAUUAUUCCUUCUUUUGUAAAAUGGUGGUGAGAACAAAGGACUAUUUUUUUAAAUGUCCUUACUUGGCAAACUAAAAAAUGUUUGCAGCUCUAGUAAGACUCCAUUUUCAUCUUGACAACUCAGUGGUGUGCGGGGGCUGGCCCACAGGCGGCCACACAGAUGUGGCUCCCUGGGCCGUUUACUCUUCUGCCAGAAAUGCGCCCCCGACCCAUGGCUUGCUCAUUCCCCACCAUCCUUCAAUGCAGGUCUUCCCUGACGUUUUUUUUUUAAGAGGGAGUUUCGCUCUUUUUGCCCAAGCUGGAGUGCAGUGGUGCAACCUCAGCUCACCGCAACCUCUGCCUCCUGGGUUCAAGCAAUUCUCAUGCCAGUGUCCGGAGUAGCUGGGAUUACAGACACGUGCCACCAUGCCUGGCUAAUUUUUUGUAUUUUUAGUAGAGACAAGGGUUCACCAUGUUGGCCAGGCUGGCCUCGAACUUCUGACCUCAGGUGAUCUACCUGCCUCCCCUCCCACACUGCUGGGAUUACAGGUGUGAGCCACCAUGUCCGGCCUUCCCUGACCUUUCUUCCCCCAAAGCCCAUCCUUGCAUGAGUGCAUCAUCCAGAACUCAGCACUGCGUCCAUUUGCACAUCUGCCUCCCCGUGGACCUCGGCUGGUGGAAACCAGGCCCCCUCACAUUUCCUUUUCCAGAGCCCAGCCCAGCCCUGCCCUGACUGCCCAUACACAGAGCAGGUUUGCAAAAUGCCUGACAGAGAAUGAAUGACUCCAGCUUCCUCCUCAGCAGCAGGUGGAGGUGGGGGGUUGGGGCACCCAGCCCUCUGCUGGCUUCACCUGUCCGUGCCCGUGCAGUUGAACUGGGCUCUCCAGGACUGCCUGCCUGCUGGGCCUCAGCACCACCAAGGGCUUCAAGGGCCCCAGCUGGGUGCCACGGACCCCUCUCCAAUUCCACUAGGAGAUCAGGGGCUGGGGUGCCUCAUCUGGCCCUAAAGCCCCAUGGCACUGACCUGGUGCCUGUGUGAUUCUUCCUCACUGUUCCCAGACAGGGGCCAGGAAAUGGAAUGAAAGCAGCCAGUCUCUGAAGAGCUGGAGACCAUCAUCUGCCUCGGGAAGCCCAGGGAACCUCGGCUCAGACAGGACAGAGACUGUGGGAAGGGAGGAGACUGUGACAGAGAAGCAGAGGAGGGUGACAGAGUCAGGGAAGAACAAAACAGCCUGCAGUGGGAGCAGAGACAAAAAUGUGGGGGACCCACAGGGAGGGGAGGGAGGGAGGGAGGGGAGGGAGGGAA